rnacentral:rRNA from 1 species
GAUGAACGCUGGCGGCGUGCCUAAUACAUGCAAGUCGAGCGAACAGACGAGGAGCUUGCUCCUCUGACGUUAGCGGCUGACGGGUGAGUAACACGUGGAUAACCUACCUAUAAGACUGGGAUAACUUCUGGAAACCGGAGCUAAUACCGGAUAAUAUAUUGAACCGCAUGGUUCAAUAGUGAAAGACGGUUUUGCUGUCACUUAUAGAUGGAUCCGCGCCGCAUUAGCUAGUUGGUAAGGUAACGGCUUACCAAGGCAACGAUGCGUAGCCGACCUGAGAGGGUGAUCGGCCAAACUGGAAGUGAGACACGGUCCAGACUCCUACGGGAGGCAGCAGUAGGGAAUCUUGCGCAAUGGGCGAAAGCCUGACGGAGCAACGCCGCGUGAGUGAUGAAGGUCUUCGGAUCGUAAAACUCUGUUAUUAGGGAAGAAGAAAUGUGUAAGUAACUAUGCACGUCUUGACGGUACCUAAUCAGAAAGCCACGGCUAACUACGUG